GGCUUCGAUCAGGCCGCAGCCCCCCGUCCCCUCUCUGUCUCUCUUUAAAACCUUUUCCCUCUCAAGUCAAAAAGACUAGAUCACGAAGAAAAGCAGAGAAAAAACUCUCCGAUCUCCGACGGCGACGGCGGCGAUGUCCGCCUCCUUCCAGCGAGUUCCCAAUCUCCAGAUUCCCUCCUCGCCGUCCGAUCGCCGCCUCCGAUGGUCCCACCACCACCGCUUGAUCCCCCCUUCUUUGCUUCAGCAUCGCGAUGCGAUCGCGGUCACCGGAGCUCUCCGAUCCGUGGACCCGAGAAGCGGGAUCCGGUUUCUUGAUCCGGUCGUCCUCCGGUCCGCCGACGGCGGACCGCGGAGGAGGAGGGGAUCGGUGGUGCGGGGAUGCGCGCUGGGGGCCAGGGUCGGCGAUGUGGAGGUGGAGCGGCGGCGGAAGAGGAGGGCGGAGGUGGUGGUGGCGGCGGCCAUGACGGCGUUGCUGGGGACCGGGAACCGGGUGCUCUACAAGCUCGCGCUGGUGCCUCUCAAGCAGUACCCUUUCUUUCUCGCCCAGCUCGCCACGUUCGGAUAUGUGGUGGUUUACUUCUCUAUCCUGUAUGCUCGCUAUCAUUCUGGCAUUGUUACUGAUGAGAUGCUUUCUCUACCAAAGACUCCAUAUCUAGCUGUAGGACUCUUGGAGGCUCUGGGAGCAGUAUCUGGAAUGGCAGCUGGAGCUGUUCUUUCUGGAGCGUCAAUUCCAAUAUUAUCUCAGACCUUUCUUGUUUGGCAGCUUCUGCUAUCAGUUAUUUUUCUUGGGAGACGAUAUAGAUUCAACCAAAUACUCGGUUGUUUUCUUGUAACCAUUGGUGUGGUAAUAACUGUAGCAAGUGGAUCUGGCGCUGGUGAUUCAUUGAAAAAUGCUGGAAUUUUUUGGGCACUAUUGAUGAUAAUCUCAUUUUUGUUUCAAGCUGCUGAUACAGUGUUGAAGGAAACAAUAUUUUUGGAUGCUGCUAAGAAAUUGGAGGGGGGAUCAGUUGAUCUUUUUGUUGUGAACUCUUUCGGAUCUGCUUUCCAAGCACUAUUCAUAUGUCUCUUACUACCUUUCUUGUCAAAGUUAUGGGGUGUUCCUUUCAAUCAGUUGCCAACUUACAUUAGAGAUGGAGCAGCCUGCUUCCUAAAUAUAGGAUCAUUAUCAAGUGGAUGUGAAGGAGCACCGGUGCUACCACUGUUGUUUGUCAUUGUUAACAUGGCAUUCAAUAUAUCAUUGCUACAUCUUCUCAAGAUCUCUUCAGCAGUGGUCUCUUGCCUUGCCUCCACUUUUUCAGUUCCCCUCUCCAUCUACGCCUUCACGCUGCCGUUGCCAUACAUCGGAGUGGCGUCAUCGUUGCCGGCAGGUUUUGUCGCGGGGGCGGUGGUACUUGUGGCUGGCCUCCUCCUCUACUCCUGGACUCCACCCUCAAGUCCUGCCACCCAAGCACAGCCACAGCCACCAUCACUGGCCCAAGGAUAGAGAUCACAUCAUUUCUUCUUUUUUUGCCUAUUUUUUUCUUCUUUUCCUACAUUUAAGAAGGUAGUAUAAAUCUCUGGCACUGGGCAGAACAGAAGUUCUCGUGGUGGCAGCCAACCUGUUUGUGGUAUUCAUAUUUAAUGGGAUAAGAGGAGAAGGCGAAAUGAUGGAAUAGAUGACACGGAUGACCACAUCUCGACCAUGUUUCAUGUGGUACAUGAUUCUGCAUGGAAGUUCUUUUGGAUGGUGGGGUUUGAUUCAUGGCUGAGGAGGGACGUCAGAAUAUGCUGAUAUGGUGUGGGCUGGGUGGAGAGCAAGGAAGACAAGGAGGAGCACCAUUGCAACAGGGAUCAAGAGGAGGAGAGGCGGCGGCGGCGGCAAAGGAGGCAGCACAAGCGGCAACAGUAGAAGAACUGCCGUCAGCAGCACCAGCGCCAGCGCUGCCUUCGCACCGAGAGGCAUCGACCCUCCUCUUCCUCCUACGGCAACUGCUGCUCCUGUUAUAUCUCACCCUUCUUCACGAAGGAGAUGAGGUUACUCCCAACCAGAUCAGUCCUCUCUUCCCUUAUGCCUCCACUGAAGUCAUACUCCAUGAGCUUAUCAUCUCUCUCUCUCUCUCUCUCUGUGCAUGUAUUUGUGGUGCCAACGACUAGCAAUUGGCACGCGUUAGAGGAAAAAGCCAGUGAACGGAGGGAGAUUCUGAGGCUGGGCAGCUGAUGGAUUGGGAGGAUCCAAAAAAUAAGGAGAAAGAGUGAAGGUUGUGUGCAAGCCUAGAUCUGAAAACAAACAGAGCAUGGAAGUUAUGGAGAGAUGCAAUGGAUUGGAACAUAUAAGGUCUAGGGGACCUGAUUGUUUAUUAAUAUGGUACAAUAAGUUCUGCCAAGGUCAGGAUACCUGAAAGUCUUAGGUAAACUACAAACCUCGUACCCUCUUGUGUUUCCAUUCAAUAAAUAAAACCAAGAGGAGCCCCUUGUUUA